rnacentral:rRNA from 1 species
AUUGAACGCUGGCGGCAUGCCUUACACAUGCAAGUCGAACGGCAGCAUGGAGAGCUUGCUCUCUGAUGGCGAGUGGCGAACGGGUGAGUAAUGCAUCGGAACGUACCGUGUAAUGGGGGAUAACGUAGCGAAAGUUACGCUAAUACCGCAUACGACCUGAGGGUGAAAGCAGGGGAUCGCAAGACCUUGCGUUAUACGAGCGGCCGAUGUCAGAUUAGCUAGUUGGUGAGGUAAAGGCUCACCAAGGCGACGAUCUGUAGCGGGUCUGAGAGGGUGAGCCGCGACACUGGAGCUGAGAACCGGCCCAGACGCCUACGGGAGGCAGCAGUGGGGAAUUUUGGACAAUGGGGGCAACCCUGAUCCAGCCAUGCCGCGUGAGUGAAGAAGGCCUUCGGGUUGUAAAGCUCGUUCGGCCGGGAAGAAAUCGCACAGGCUAAUACUCUGUGUGGAUGACAGUACCGGCAUAAGAAGCACCGGCUAACUACGUGCCAGCCGCCGCCGUAA